GAAGCCACCCGCGUUGGCUGCUUACUUGUUUGCUAUGGAUUUCACAAGCCAUCUUGAAAGCUUUUGUAGCAAUGAGGAAAAAGGAAUAAGCAGAACAAUGUCAGAGGAGGACCACUAAUGGUGGUGGUCAAUAAUGCCUAAAGUGGACACUGGACUUAGAGGCUUUAUUCGAAUUGCAAUGUGUCGUUAUCUAAGGGUAGAAGCGGUGUAUAGCCAAAUGGACGAAUGUUGUACAGGUAAAUCACCCUUGAAUUCAAAAGUUAAAAA